UAAAAACUGAUAAGCUCGAGAACGAAGCGGUUGUUCGUAACAGAAAACUUUGGCAGAGCUACACCGGUUUCCCCGUCACUUAUCACUGAGCAGCCAUCAUGCAGUCAGGUCCGAUAAGAUUUUUAUUCCUUGGAAUAUCACUGAAUGUCCUGUUUUUCGCGAGAUGUGUAGAUUUGCAAUCUCUGCCUACAAAAGGUUUUCACAGCAACAUCGAGAUCGUCGAAGGACGCGAACUUAGGAUCACGCACAGUCAUGGCCAGGUAAACAUCGACUGGGGUCUCACUCUACCUGAAGGCGCCGAAGGAGUGAACUGCACCGAAGGGAACUUCUGCUAGACUUCGAUGUUGCUAAGGUAGUGAUCACACAAGAGGACCAUUGUCAAAAGGUCUCUUGGACGGCAAGAAAUCUCACUGAAUUGAAGGAC